GGCAGUGUGGCCGAGCGGUCUAUGGCGUGUGACUCAAGCGUUCUGCUUGCCUGCGAGUGCAGGUUUCUCAUCUCCGUAUGGAGGCAUGGGUUCAAAUCCCAUCGCUGUCA